rnacentral:rRNA from 1 species
GAUGAACGCUGGCGGUAUGCUUAACACAUGCAAGUCGAACGGACUCUUCGGAGUUAGUGGCGGACGGGUGAGUAACGCGUGAGAAUCUGGCUUUGGGUUCGGGACAACCACUGGAAACGGUGGCUAAUACCGGAUGUGCCGAGAGGUAAAAGAGAAAUUGCCUGAAGAUGAGCUCGCGUCUGAUUAGCUAGUUGGUGAGGUAAAGGCUCACCAAGGCAGCGAUCAGUAGCUGGUCUGAGAGGAUGACCAGCCACACUGGGACUGAGACACGGCCCAGACUCCUACGGGAGGCAGCAGUGGGGAAUUUUCCGCAAUGGGCGAAAGCCUGACGGAGCAAUACCGCGUGAGGGAAGAAGGCUCUUGGGUUGUAAACCUCUUUUCUUAGGGAAGAACAAAAUGACGGUACCUAAGGAAUCAGCAUCGGCUAACACCGUG